rnacentral:lncRNA from 1 species
CAUCCCUUAUGCUCUGGGAGCCACAGCCUUGACAGAAGCUCCUGCCCCAGCCCUUUCUUUAUCCUCCCCCCUUCCAAGCCCUGUAUCCCCAUCUUCUGCCCCCCCAACACUCGCCCCCAGUCCCAGCACCGAGAGACCGGUGAUGGCCGUGCCCCGGAAAGCCCUGCCUGGAGGACCUCGUUGGCAGCCUCCAGCUCUGGGGACUUCAGCCUCCCGGGCACGGAGGCGGAGCAAGGAGCCGGCAGCUGCCGCCCCGAGCCCAGCUGGGGACCCGGGGAGCCCGCAGGGCUGGACCGAAACCCCCGGAUCCUUCCACCGGCCCCAGCGCCACGGCGGGGUCUCGGUCCCGGCCAACGGGGGUUGCUCUGUACACACCGUACGUGUGCUCAGGUAACACCGCAGCAGCGGCGGCUCCGUUACCGCCCGCAGCCCCGCCGAGAGCCGCGCCCGGUGCCGCAGCCCCAUUGCCCUGCGCCCGCCACCACCUCCCUGUGCUCCAGCACCGCUUGGGACCCGCCCCCGGACCCGCUCGGCGCUGCCCCUGCCCCUGUCCUGGGACACCGCCGCUCCCGGCCCGCGGGGCGGCAGCACCGGCACCGGCAGCACCGCCAGGCCCCGCGGCCUCCGCUCCGGUCUGGUACCGCCCGCCCAGCCAAUCACAGGCCCGCCAGAGCGCGCCCGUCUACACUGCACCCAAUCGCGCCCCGCCUUUUCAAUCCGGUCCCGCCCCUCCCGUCUCCACUCAACCCAAUUCCCGGCCCUUGUCCGCUCCGUCCAAUCCCGGCCCGCCCGUUCAGUCCAGCCCCUCCACUCCAUUCCCCACAGGCCCCGAUGCCGCCGCUCCGCGGAGCCGCAGGGGUGCGAGUUGGGCCCCGGUGCCGCCGAGCGGGCGCUCUGCAGCGGGGCCGCUCCUGGCUCCCGUUCAAGCCCCAGAGCCGGGGCCGCAGCGGGUGCAGGACCGACCACCCCCACCUCCAGGAGCGGCGGAGCCGCCACCGGGUCCUG